rfam:Pelobacter carbinolicus DSM 2380, complete genome.
GCUGGCGUAGCUCAAUUGGUAGAGCAGCUGACUUGUAAUCAGCAGGUUGCGGGUUCAAUUCCUGUCGCCAGCU